CAGAAGACAAGUCAUUUUUCUAGACCUCCCAUAGACGCCAUCGUUGAUCAAGCCAUUUUCAUUUUCACGAAGUAUUUUAUUAUGGAACUCCUAAAGACCAUCAGCCCUACCUGGCACUGGCUUUCUGGUUGAAAAGCAGCAUUGUGGAGCCUGAAACAUCAUCAGAGGCAACUGCUUCCCCUCCCUGUGGAUUUAGGACCGCUAUGUGCAGAGUUCUCCUGUUUGUUAGUUUGCUGUCCCAGUUGAAUUCUGAGUUUCCGGGAAUCCCUAGUGCAAUGAGAAAUGAUGGAGAACCAAUUCUCAUUAUCUGAUGAAGGAAAGAGCCAUGUACCUACAACAGCAAAGGCUCAGACAAGCCUUCUCCUGCCUUGGGUUCAUGGUCACGUGCUGUAGGUGUCUUGUCUUCCCAUGUGCACCUGUCUGCAUCCUCAUGGUGCAUCCUCAGGAUGUCCCGUACAGUGUCUU
ensembl:lncRNA SOX9-AS1 SOX9 antisense RNA 1